UGCGUAGACGAGAUGGCACAGU
rnacentral:miRNA from 1 species